rnacentral:piRNA from 1 species
UCUUUCACAUUGGUGACUUGUCAUUUGGG